CGGUGUCUGUGACAUAAUAACAUUGAAAUGCACACUGCAGAGUAAAGUCUGCAGUCAGAUCUGGAAAGAGAAAAGGGCUGAAAUUUGAACCUGGUAACUCUACAACCUGAAUAAAAAUCGUUUGUAGUUACCUCCUGGAAAAAGGUACAAAACCCCACUUGAUUCUCAGCUUCUUGUCUGUGCACAGGGGCUCAAUCAAAGUAGCUCGGACUGUGGCUUUGAAUCCCAUUUCCAGAACUGGCUGGAGGUGCAGCCUCAUGGCCUGCCUGCUCCCUGCUGUCGUCUGCUUGCUGGAGAUUCACCCCUCCCCAGCAGAGCUGGUGGACCUGGAUGUGCACAUGUAUCUCUGUGCUCUGAUGUUUGCAGCUUCUCAGGACAGCACUGAAACUCAGCCUCUCAUGCUCGGGGAUAAUGGUGAGAGCUGGAUUUUGAGUCCCUGCUGCAACUUGACAAGGAUCUAUGGUCUGGUGUCCACCUGGAAAAGUGGGAACACCGCAAGAGAUCUUCAGCCAGAAGCAUAGUAUUGCAGGCAUAACAUCUGACUCAGUUGGCUUGCAUGGAUGCAGCCUCUAGUUUUCCAGCGUGGCCGAUUGUAUUUCACCUUGGAGCACUCCGGCCCGGGAAGCAGCCGCAGCCCUGGCUGCUGCCCAGCUGGCCUCUGCCCUAGUUCCUCUCCCGCUGCAGGCAGGCAGGCUGUGGGAUCGCUCCUUUUCAGGGCUAAACUGUGCCGCCCACUUUUGAUCAUUAAAGGAAAUGAAGCUGAAAUCACAUCUGAAGAAGUAAACGACUCACGUACGAAGGCGCUGAGAUGGCAAAGCAAGCAGUCUCAAAGGCGAGCACACACAGCAUGGGCUGCCACUGGUCCCCUGGUUCAGCAGUGUUCUACGAGCACUUGGCAGAACUAUAAAUGAUGGCACGAGGUGUGGGGCAGUGAAGAAUAAAAUCCCGAGUAUUCGACUUUCAAGGAAAUUUACAAAAGCCACUGUCUCAACAGCCAAGAUUUACAUGUGUCUUCCAAGAAAGAAUUACUUUUCUAUGGGAAAGUAAUUGUCCUCUGCACUGCUGAGCUAAUGAUGUAUAAAAUAACUCUGACAAGCCAGAGUCCCACGGUGGCACCAGCCAACAGCAAAGGGAAAAGGGAUUCCAAACAAGCUGUUGGUGACCAGAAAACAACUUGAAGCAGAUCACUAGCAAUAAAUCUUAAUAUGACAUUGGAGCCGAGCUCAUCUUACAAAGAGCAAAGAGUAGAUGGAGAAAAGCAGACGGCAGAAACUUUUGCAGUGGUAUAAACAGAGAUGAGUGCGUAUCGUUUCUGAGUGCUGUAGAAGUCCCUGCCCAUCUCAAUUGUGUAAAUAACCAGAAAGAACAUUAAUACAUUUCUAGGGACUGAGUUUUAAUUGUUCUUUGUUUUAUAACCAUUGCUUGCGUUCUUGUUCUAUUUACCAUGGCAAUAGUUCCAAAUAUUCCACGUUAUGGAAAUGAUGACGUUCAGCUGGAAAUGUUUUACCUGCCAAGACCUGAACUUCACGCUAGCGGUUAUCCAGCAGUAGCUGGUGGCAGAACAAACCUACUGCAGCAUAACAGGAGGUUACAUCCUUUACAUGGUUACAUUUAAUCACUUCUGAUGCUUAUCCAUGUUGUAGCCAAAUACAAGGAAAUAUGGAUUCUACACUCAGACUUUUGCAAGUACAAAAAGUAAGAGCGACAGCACUAAUAAUAAAGCAUAAUUAUUGCAGCUGCCUGUCGAAGGAAUCCGGGAUUUGUUAUACUUUAUGUAAUUUUGUAUGAUCAUCCUUUGUUCAAGUCUUUUCCACAAAAGUCGCUGUGUGUAAAAUCCACGCAAACCAUGAAGUCUGCCUCAGUAUAGAAGCGCUGGAAGAACUGUGAACCUGAUCACACUGAACAUCACAGGCAUAAAUGAAGAAACUAAAACCUUGAGUAUUUAUCAGUUCUGUGAUACGCAUUAAUUACAAUUCUUUACAGGCUUUCUGUAGCAAUAGGGUCCAAAAAAAUCAGAUAAUAAAAUAACUUACAAAAAAUACACAUCCAAACCAUUACACAUGACUAAAACUUUCAUUUUUCUAUGCUAUUUAUGGGUAUAUUUGUGUGGAAACCUUUAAAAAAUGUUCUUUACAACUUCUUGAGAUUUACUUACACCAUUUCGUAGUUCUGCAGAACAAAGCUGACGUCUCCAGAUGGCAAAUAUAAACACCCAAAGAUGGACUGCCACUCAAAGACACGUGGGGAAUAUUUGCCAAAGCUAAAUACAGCACUAGAAGAAUUUCAAUAGUGGAGUAAAAGUUCUUCUGAGCACGCCAUUAAUACUGGUGCAAUAGAUCUAACUGACGCAGUGGAGGCGGUGAGCUGCACUCAAAAUCUUUGCUACCCACAAAAAGGCACUUAUUUCUGGAUUGUUAUAUACUCAGGAAAUCGUACAGUAAAUCAAAGUGACGUAUUACCCAGACCCUGCUAUAAAGUGCAGCACACAUUAAGUGACAUACGAGAAACAUGCACAUGUGCAUGGCUGGGAAAGUGCGCAUGGGAUUCAACCGUUCUGCUGAAUAAAUAUUUGAGAGUUUUGCAGUUCCUCAGCAUCUCCUUUUAUGUGAUAAGAUAACUGCAACUACAAAUUUUUCUUGAGGACCGACAUUUUUGUAUUGCAGUGGCUGCUUUGUUGCUCCAAACAGCAAUGUGCAUACUACAAAUCAGUUCAGAAAGAAGAUGCUUUCCAUUGUACUCAUGUGGACCUUAUUAUCAAAAAGAGAAACUAUGUGCGCAAAGUUCUUCAUAACUUUUUUUUACCAGCAGCAUUAGUCUCCUUUAGAUAUUGGCAGGGGUGGGAGGGGGUCUGCCAAAGUACACUACACAUUCAGUCUGAGCUGUAGCAACAGAAAGCUGUUCACUGUGAGCUAUGCGAUUCCAAACAUCUAAGGAUGGGAGAAAGAGUUCACUCAAAAUAGUGAAUAAUUCGUUUGAACUUUGCCACAUUCUCCAAACAAAAAUUGCUUUAUAAAUAUAAUAUUUGAUGAAUAUCCUCAGCUGGAGAGGUCCAGAAACCUCACUCCCACCAACCUCAACAGAGAUAGCUCUUUUUGGUGAUUAGUCCUUGUUUCAGACACCAGUUUUGCAAGUUGUAUGGUUGCAACAGACUCUCAUGGCUUUCAGAGGCUUGUCUACACACAAACCCCUGAGAAAUACUGAGAUUGCCUGGGGAGACCACACCUUCGGGCACUUUGGUCAAAGUCUACAUGUAGGCUCUCCUAAGGGCUUUUCUCCCAGCAUAACUCUACCAUUGUAUAUUGUCAGCAUGGAAGAAAUGGGAUUUCUGUUUAUUCCCAAACCAUGA